rnacentral:rRNA from 1 species
CCUACGGGAGGCAGCAGUGAGGAAUAUUGGUCAAUGGACGAAAGUCUGAACCAGCCAAGUCGCGUGAAGGAUGACUGCCCUAUGGGUUGUAAACUUCUUUUAUCUGGGAAUAAAAUGUUCCACGUGUGGGAUUUUGUCUGUACCAUAUGAAUAAGGAUCGGCUAACUCCGUGCCAGCAGCCGCGGUCAUACGGAGGAUCCGAGCGUUAUCCGGAUUUAUUGGGUGUAAAGGGAGCGUAGGUGGAUUGUUAAGUCAGUUGUGAAAGUUUGCGGCUCAACCGUAAAAUGGCAGUUGAAACUGGCAGUCUUGAGUACAGUAGAGGUGGGCGGAAUUCGUGGUGUAGCGGUGAAAUGCUUAGAUAUCACGAAGAACGCCGAUUGCGAAGGCAGUUCACUGGACUGCAACUGACACUGAGGCUCGAAAGUGUGGGUAUCAAACAGGAUUAGAUACCCAAGUAGUC